AGCUGACAUGCCAAUACAAAUUUCAUCUGGAUUAGAACAUUCCAUGAGUGAUUCACCGAAUGAAUCAUGAGUAAGAAGUGAACUGCAGGAUUUCUCGUCCGUAUAUUAUUUACUCCGAAGUUCGAAGUACUUUCUUGACAAGAAAACAAAAAGGAAGCGUUUUGGUUGAAAAAGUAAAACUCAAAAUAGGAUGAAUUCCUCCCGUGAAGAUCUUCCAAGAUGAGCACCGCCAAAAGAAAGGUAGAAGGAAUCGGGGUGUGUUUCGUUAUAUAUAUAUGUUGGGGUAUAUUGGGCCCUUGGAAGUGGCGCGGCCGUUCGAGUUCGUGUGUCUUUUAAUAUAUGUACGUAAUAUAUGUCCCCUCCGAAGCGGGGAACCAAGCGUUCGGGAGUCGUGUGGAUCGUGAGAGCGCUGUCGGAAAGCGCUAACAGUGCUGUAGACGGGAGCGGCUACAUGCUGUUAGCGGCGCUGCUUCCUGAACAUCAUAAUCAUAAUCAGGCAGGCUCCGGUUCAACAUUCUUUUUUUUUUUACCUGACCAAUUUUUUCAGAUCUAAUUUUUAGGUUGGUUUAAAUAAACAUUAUUUAUAAAAAGGACACAAGCUCAA